rnacentral:rRNA from 1 species
GUAGAGCACUGUUUCGGCUAGGGGGCCAUCCCGGCUUACCAACCCGAUGCAAACUGCGAAUACCGGAGAAUGUUAUCACGGGAGACACACGGCGGGUGCUAACGUCCGUCGUGAAGAGGGAAACAACCCAGACCGCCAGCUAAGGUCCCAAAGUCAUGGUUAAGUGGGAAACGAUGUGGGAAGGCCCAGACAGCCAGGAUGUUGGCUUAGAAGCAGCCAUCAUUUAAAGAAAGCGUAAUAGCUCACUGGUCGAGUCGGCCUGCGCGGAAGAUGUAACGGGGCUAAACCAUGCACCGAAGCUGCGGCAGCGAACGUAUCACUUAAAGCGAUUCAGCGGGUUACGAUUGACGGAGCGAAGCGACGUCAAAGCGUAUACAAAGUCGAGUCGGUUUAAGGAUACGUUCGUUGGGUAGGGGAGCGUUCUGUAAGCCCGUGAAGGUGGCCUGUGAGGG